rnacentral:rRNA from 1 species
GCACCAGACUCCUACGGGAGGCAGCAGUGGGGGAUAUUGCACAAUGGGGGGAACCCUGAUGCAGCGACGCCGCGUGGGUGAAGGAGUAUUUCGGUAUGUAAAGCCCUAUCGGCAGGGAAGAAGCAAGACGGUACCUGACUAAGAAGCCCCAGCUAACUACGUGCCAGCAGCCGCGGUAAUACGUAGGGGGCGAGCGUUAUCCGGAUUCACUGGGUGUAAAGGGAGCGUAGACGGCUAAUCAAGUCAGAAGUGAAAACCCAGGGCUCAACCUUGGGACUGCUUUUGAAACUGAGUAGCUAGAGUGCAGGAGAGGUAAGCGGAAUUCCUAGUGUAGCGGUGAAAUGCGUAGAUAUUAGGAGGAACACCAGUGGCGAAGGCGGUCUGCUGGACAGCAACUGACGCUGAGGCGCGAAAGCGUGGGGAGCAAACAGGAUUAGAUACCCGAGUAC